UGUUUCUUCGGAAAUGAGAGAGCGGCGUACGGGUGCGGAACACGUGUGCAACCUGCCUUUAUCUGGGGGAUAGCCUUUCGAAAGGAAGAUUAAUACCCCAUAAUAUACUGGAUGGCAUCAUUCGGUAUUGAAAACUCCGGUGGAUAGAGAUGGGCACGCGCAAGAUUAGAUAGUUGGUGAGGUAACGGCUCACCAAGUCUACGAUCUUUAGGGGGCCUGAGAGGGUGAUCCCCCACACUGGUACUGAGACACGGACCAGACUCCUACGGGAGGCAGCAGUGAGGAAUAUUGGACAAUGGGUGAGAGCCUGAUCCAGCCAUCCCGCGUGAAGGACGACGGCCCUAUGGGUUGUAAACUUCUUUUGUAUAGGGAUAAACCUAGAUACGUGUAUCUAGCUGAAGGUACUAUACGAAUAAGCACCGGCUAACUCCGUGCCAGCAGCCGCGGUAAUACGGAGGGUGCAAGCGUUAUCCGGAUUUAUUGGGUUUAAAGGGUCCGUAGGCGGAUCUGUAAGUCAGUGGUGAAAUCUCACAGCUUAACUGUGAAACUGCCAUUGAUACUGCAGGUCUUGAGUGUUGUUGAAGUAGCUGGAAUAAGUAGUGUAGCGGUGAAAUGCAUAGAUAUUACUUAGAACACCAAUUGCGAAGGCAGGUUACUAAGCAACAACUGACGCUGAUGGACGAAAGCGUGGGGAGCGAACAGGAUUAGAUACCCUGGUAGUCCACGCCGUAAACGAUGCUAACUCGUUUUUGGUAUUUCGGUAUCAGAGACUAAGCGAAAGUGAUAAGUUAGCCACCUGGGGAGUACGUUCGCAAGAAUGAAACUCAAAGGAAUUGACGGGGGCCCGCACAAGCGGUGGAUUAUGUGGUUUAAUUCGAUGAUACGCGAGGAACCUUACCAAGGCUUAAAUGGGAAAUGACAGGUUUAGAAAUAGACUUUUCUUCGGACAUUUUUCAAGGUGCUGCAUGGUUGUCGUCAGCUCGUGCCGUGAGGUGUUAGGUUAAGUCCUGCAACGAGCGCAACCCCUGUCACUAGUUGCCAUCAUUAAGUUGGGGACUCUAGUGAGACUGCCUACGCAAGUAGAGAGGAAGGUGGGGAUGACGUCAAAUCAUCACGGCCCUUACGCCUUGGGCCACACACGUAAUACAAUGGCCAGUACAGAGGGCAGCUACACGGUGACGUGAUGCAAAUCUCGAAAGCUGGUCUCAGUUCGGAUUGGAGUCUGCAACUCGACUCUAUGAAGCUGGAAUCGCUAGUAAUCGCGCAUCAGCCAUGGCGCGGUGAAUACGUUCCCGGGCCUUGU
rnacentral:rRNA from 1 species